rnacentral:lncRNA from 1 species
UUUUUUUGAAAAAUUGAACUUUUUACGUGGUAAUGACGUGGCUCCGAAGUGUCAUUAACGUGGCAUUGAUGUGUAGGCGGGUGUAAUGCACUCUCCGUUGUGAGAGUGAUAUUCAGUUUUGAGGGGCGAAAAUAAUAUACUUUAAAGGUGUUAAGGGGGUAAAUAAACAGAAGUUAAGUUUAAGUGUUAAAGUGAGUUUG